rnacentral:lncRNA from 1 species
CUUAAAUUAUUGGAUAUAAACCUUUAUGGAGGUCUGGAUAUGCAGACCCUCUACUUUGCAUGCAUGUCAGAUGCCAUAGAAAAGUAGGAUGAACUCCAAUCCAAUUGGCUUCACAUACACAAUCAAUCAAGGAAUGAGAUGUGAUGAUGUGAUACCUCACACCAGCAGGUAGGAUGCCCAAGAAGGAUCCAAACCCAAGGAGAAGAGGCAGC